AACUGCGUGUUUGCUUUAGGCCAGGGCUGUCCAACCUGCGGCCCCCCAGAUGUUGCUGAACUGCAACUCCCAUGAUUCUUUCAAUGAAACAGAUAGCCAGGGAAGCAUGGGAGUUGUAGUUCAGCAACAUCUGGGGGGGCCGCAGGUCGGACAUCCCUGCUUUAGGCUGUAUCUAGCAGCCAGUGCUGUU